rnacentral:sRNA from 2 species
GCCUAGCCCCGAUAGAAGUGAAAAUCCUUUUGUGGCGGGGUUCGCCACAAAAGAUUGUAACGGAUAGCGGGAUUAGCU